rnacentral:rRNA from 1 species
CCUACGGGUGGCAGCAGUGAGGAAUAUUGGUCAAUGGGCUUACGCCUGAACCAGCCAAGUCGCGUGAGGGAAGACUGCCCUAUGGGUUGUAAACCUCUUUUGUCGGGGAGCAAAAGACGCCACGCGUGGCGUUCCGAGAGUACCCGAAGAAAAAGCAUCGGCUAACUCCGGGCCAGCAGCCGCGGUAAUACGGAGGAUGCGAGCGUUAUCCGGAUUGAUUGGGUUGAAAGGGUGUGCAGGCGGAAGAUCAAGUCAGCGGUAAAAUUGAGAGGCUCAACCUCUUCGAGCCGUUGAAACUGGUUUUCUUGAGUGAGUGAGAGGUAUGCGGAAUGCGUGGUGUAGCGGUGAAAUGCAUAGAUAUCACGCAGAACUCCGAUUGCGAAGGCAGCAUACCGGCGCUCAACUGACGCUCAUGCACGAAAGUGUGGGUAUCGAACAGGAUUAGAUACCCGGGUAGUC